rnacentral:rRNA from 1 species
AAAUUGAAGAGUUUGAUCAUGGCUCAGAUUGAACGCUGGCGGCAGGCCUAACACAUGCAAGUCGAACGGUAACAGGAAGCAGCUUGCUGCUUCGCUGACGAGUGGCGGACGGGUGAGUAAUGUCUGGGAAGCUGCCUGAUGGAGGGGGAUAACUACUGGAAACGGUAGCUAAUACCGCAUAACGUCGCAAGACCAAAGG